AUUGAACGCUGGCGGCAGGCCUAACACAUGCAAGUCGAGCGGAUGAAGGGAGCUUGCUCCUGGAUUCAGCGGCGGACGGGUGAGUAAUGCCUAGGAAUCUGCCUGGUAGUGGGGGAUAACGUCCGGAAACGGGCGCUAAUACCGCAUACGUCCUGAGGGAGAAAGUGGGGGAUCUUCGGACCUCACGCUAUCAGAUGAGCCUAGGUCGGAUUAGCUAGUUGGUGGGGUAAAGGCCUACCAAGGCGACGAUCCGUAACUGGUCUGAGAGGAUGAUCAGUCACACUGGAACUGAGACACGGUCCAGACUCCUACGGGAGGCAGCAGUGGGGAAUAUUGGACAAUGGGCGAAAGCCUGAACCAGCCAUGCCGCGUGUGUGAAGAAGGUCUUCGGAUUGUAAAGCACUUUAAGUUGGGAGGAAGGGCAGUAAGUUAAUACCUUGCUGUUUUGACGUUACCAACAGAAUAAGCACCGGCUAACUUCGU
rnacentral:rRNA from 1 species